rnacentral:rRNA from 1 species
UACAGAGGUCUCAAGCGUUGUUCGGAUUCAUUGGGCGUAAAGGGUGUGUAGGUGGCGCCAUAAGUCGGGUGUGAAAUUUCGAGGCUUAACCUCGAAACUGCAUUCGAUACUGCGGUGCUUGAGGACUGGAGAGGAGACUGGAAUUCAUGGUGUAGCAGUGAAAUGCGUAGAGAUCAUGAGGAAGACCAGUGGCGAAGGCGGGUCUCUGGACAGUUCCUGACACUGAGACACGAAGGCCAGGGGAGCAAACGGG